AUAUGUUUGAAAAGCAUGUUUUCUUUUUCUGUUUUCUUCAGAUUGUGGAAAGACUGGGACAGGAAGGCAAGGCUUUGUUUUUAACUCCUGGGCCAUUAUUUGAAUCCCUCGAUGUCUACGGGAAUUGUAUGGGGCUUUGGAAAGCAACUUUGGAGAAAUAGGAGACCAAAUAUUUUCUCAGUGCCAUAUCCUCUGAACACCUGUAGAUGUGGAUACUCUGCCCUUCUGUUCCCCUGUGUUUUGAUGCCUACCUAUGAUGCUCCACUUUUUCCACAUCAGAAAAAGCACCAUGGCUGUGGACCAUGCUGUGGGAAAACUCAUCUCUAUAUGACUUCACCAGGCAAAAUUCAGGGGAGCCAAAUAUAUAUCUCAAAGACAUUAAUUGUGAAUGAUAAAUAUGGAGGAAUUUCAUAAUGAUUUCUGCAAAAACUAAUUACUCUGGGGACUGCAAUCAAGAAGUCUGAAUGACAAGACAAAGACAAAGCAAGGAGGAAAUUGGAUGGACCUUAAAGACAACAAAGACAUUAGGGGUAUGACUAGAUUUCAUAUCAGCUCUAUGUUUUGGGGGUGUGAGAGCAAGGGGCUGUGUGAUUAGGAACACUGUUCGCUGAACACAGUCUAUGCAGUGUUGCAUCAGAAGAACAAACUUUGUCUAUGCAAGCUGAGUGGUGCUGAAUAUGCAAUGUAUUUCAAGCAUCCCAUUACAGAAGGGAAAAAAAUGUAUUCAUCUGGGUAGGAGAUAGGAAAAGGACUGAGGUCUACAGAAAGGACUUCCAAGAGAAAAUGAUUUAGUAGAUAGUGGGCUCUAACUUCUGGGAAUUUCUUUUCAUAAAUCAAUAAGCAAGACAUGGAUAAGUAUAGAAAUGGGAAGGUGUUAAAAUGUUACAAUAUGUGUCAAAUGAAAAGAAUGACUUAAGGUUCAUCAAAAGAAGUUAAUGAAUAUCACUAUGUAAUAUCCUCUAAGAGGUCAACUGAUGUCCUGGGAUCCAGGAGUCUGAAAACGAAGACCAGCAUACUCUGCAGAAACUGACAAGCUUCCUGAAAUAAAUACAGGAGACUGAAGACUCAAAAUCAGAUCUAGAGGAUAACACACUUGUAAAGGUGCCUUUAUUUAGGAAAUGCCAAAAUGGAAAAAUAAAUGAAAAUUAUCAUAUACAUUAGUAUCAGAGUUGAUAUGGAUUAAGGAACCAUUGUAUAAAGUUACAUCAUUUAUCCUAAACUCAAAAAGAAAAAGAUUUCUAAAAUGUAUUUCACUUUUGUCUGAGUGUUAGAAAUCAAUAAAUACAUUGAAAAAAA